UUGAGCUGGGCAGAUAGCUUCCUGGUCGUCUAAUGGGUUGAUUAACCCUGACAAAGACCGGGAGGAAGCUCCAUUCACCUGCCAAGGCAGCGCUGAAAGGUGCAGGCCGAGAGGCCUCUGCAGGACACAGAAAAAACCUGCGCAACGGAGCAAUGAUAUCAGCGAUGUGGCAACACAAAUCGUCGUUGAGCGUCGAGGUUGCGAAAGGGUGAAAGAAUCCGCGGUGCCGGGUGCAAGCCGGUUCAAGGUUUGAUUGGAACUAGUCCAACAGACCGGCUUCAGGCGCUUAGAAAAAUGCUAUCACCUCCGUUCGGGAUCAUACCCGAGGAGAUGACAUAAAAUGGGCUAUGCCCAGCACAA
rnacentral:RNase_P_RNA from 1 species